rnacentral:rRNA from 1 species
ACUCCUACGGGAGGCAGCAGUGGGGAAUAUUGCACAAUGGGCGCAAGCCUGAUGCAGCCAUGCCGCGUGUAUGAAGAAGGCCUUCGGGUUGUAAAGUACUUUCAGCAGUGAGGAAGGUGGAUAUGUUAAUAGCAUAUUCAUUUGACGUUAGCUGCAGAAGAAGCACCGGCUAACUCCGUGCCAGCAGCCGCGGUAAUACGGAGGGUGCGAGCGUUAAUCGGAAUUACUGGGCGUAAAGCGCAUGCAGGUGGUUUGUUAAGUCAGAUGUGAAAGCCCGGGGCUCAACCUCGGAAUUGCAUUUGAAACUGGCAAACUAGAGUACUGUAGAGGGGGGUAGAAUUUCAGGUGUAGCGGUGAAAUGCGUAGAGAUCUGAAGGAAUACCGGUGGCGAAGGCGGCCCCCUGGACAGAUACUGACACUCAGAUGCGAAAGCGUGGGGAGCAAACAGGAUUAGAUACCCUGGUAGACUCAGC